ACACUCCUGCGGGAGGCAACAGUGGGGAAUAUUGGACAAUGGGCGCAAGCCUGAUCCAGCCAUGCCGCGUGAGUGAUGAAGGCCCUAGGGUUGUAAAGCUCUUUCACCGGUGAAGAUAAUGACGGUAACCGGAGAAGAAGCCCCGGCUAACUUCGUGCCAGCAGCCGCGGUAAUACGAAGGGGGCUAGCGUUGUUCGGAUUUACUGGGCGUAAAGCGCACGUAGGCGGACUAUUAAGUCAGGGGUGAAAUCCCGGGGCUCAACCCCGGAACUGCCUUUGAUACUGGUAGUCUUGAGUUCGAGAGAGGUGAGUGGAAUUCCGAGUGUAGAGGUGAAAUUCGUAGAUAUUCGGAGGAACACCAGUGGCGAAGGCGGCUCACUGGCUCGAUACUGACGCUGAGGUGCGAAAGCGUGGGGAGCAAACAGGAUUAGAUACCCGGGUAGUCCCAUG
rnacentral:rRNA from 1 species